AUAUCAAAGGUGAGCCAGUACAGGAUGGACCCGCGUCUGAUUAGCUAGUUGGUAAGGUAACGGCUUACCAAGGCGACGAUCAGUAGCCGACCUGAGAGGGGGAUCGGCCACAUUGGAACUGAGACACGGUCCAAACUCCUACGGGAGGCAGCAGGGGGGAAUAUUGCACAAUGGGCGAAAGCCUGAUGCAGCAACGCCGCGUGAGUGAUGAAGGCCUUCGGGUC
rnacentral:rRNA from 1 species